rfam:Punica granatum cultivar Dabenzi scaffold123, whole genome shotgun sequence.
AUACUUACCUGGACGGGGUCAAUGGGUGAUCAAGGAUGCCCAUGGCCUAGGCAGGCAACCUUCAUUGCACUUCGAAGGGGCGCCUGCCUAAGGUCGGUUCAAGUGGCUGAGCCUAUGUCAUAAUUUGUGACAGCGGGGCCUGCAUUCGCACCGCUCGU